UGUGAGAGUAAUGAGUUGUACGCUGAUGGACUCAUAGUGUUAGGGCAUAUGGGAAACAUUACUGUCACCCUGAUGACAGAAGAAUAAAUGCACAGGCACCUUUUCAGAGUCAUC
rnacentral:snoRNA from 1 species